AAGUCGUAACAAGGUUUCCGUAGGUGAACCUGCGGAAGGAUCAUUAACACGUAUCCAACGUUAAACAACCCUGUGAACUUUAAGUCCCCUCUUGCAGCCCAUGAGGAACAGCAAUCCACUCCACUUGAAAAUGCCCCGCCUAGUGGUAACGCGCUAGGUAAAAAAAACCGAACAACUGUUAACAAUGGAUAUCUUGGUUCUC
rnacentral:misc_RNA from 1 species